rnacentral:SRP_RNA from 10 species
GCUGGGCGCAGUGGUGCUCCUGUAGUCCCAGCUAAUGGGGAGGCAGGAGGAUCGCUAGAGCCCAGGAGCUCUGGGCUGUGAUGCUCUAUGUUGAUCGGGUAUCUACACUGAGUUUGGCAUCAAUAUGGUGACCUCCUGGGAGCAGGGGACCACAGUGUUGCCUGAGGAGGGGUGAACAAGCCCAGGUCAAAAACAGAGCAGGUCAAAACUCCCGUGUUGAUCAGUGGUGGGAUCGCGCCUACCAGUGGCCACUGCACUCUAGCCUGGGUAACAUCAUAGCAAGACCCU